GAUGAAGAACGUAGCAAAAUGCGAUACGUAAUGCGAAUUGCAGAAUUCAGUGAAUCAUCAAAUCUUUGAACGCAAAUUGCGCUCUCGGGAUAGGCCUGAGAGCACGCCUCUUUGAGCAUCGAUUCUACCACAAGUCGACGACGUCCUUGCAAAAAGGGCGUGCAGUCGGACAUUGAGCUUUGCCAGCCGUUCGCGGCUCAGCUAGCUUUAAAUAGAGCGUGAUGCACAGCGAUCCUACUGUUCUUUGCAGGAGUAUCGGUGACGUGGAUAACUUCACAUUUUGUGAACCUUCCAAUACGUGACCGAAGCUCGUAAACUGCUUGAGCAGCAAGCCGCAAUUGUGCGUCCGAUCGUCACGCAAGUGACAACUCUUUUGAAUUAGAUCUCAAAUGAAGCGAGAAAACCCGCUGAACUUAAGCAUAUCAUAAGCGGAGGA
rnacentral:misc_RNA from 1 species